GACGAACGCUGGCGGCGUGCUUAACACAUGCAAGUCGAACGGAAAGGCCCUGCUUUUGUGGGGUGCUCGAGUGGCGAACGGGUGAGUAACACGUGAGUAACCUGCCCUUGACUUUGGGAUAACUUCAGGAAACUGGGGCUAAUACCGGAUAGGAGCUCCUGCUGCAUGGUGGGGUUUGGACAGUUUCGGCGGUUGGGGAUGGACUCGCGGCUUAUCAGCUUGUUGGUGGGGUAGUGGCUUACCAAGGCUUUGACGGGUAGCCGGCCUGAGAGGGUGACCGGCCACAUUGGGACUGAGAUACGGCCCAGACUCCUACGGGAGGCAGCAGUGGGGAAUAUUGCACAAUGGGCGGAAGCCUGAUGCAGCAACGCCGCGUGCGGGAUGACGGCCUUCGGGUUGUAAACCGCUUUCGCCUGUGACGAAGCGUGAGUGACGGUAAUGGGUAAAGAAGCACCGGCUAACUACGUG
rnacentral:rRNA from 1 species